CCUUCUUGCACGUCGCCCUCUCCCAGCUCGUCCUCAACCGCUGCGUCCCCGCGCCGCCAAGUCCGUCGCCGGAGCUCCUCGACUUCGCGUCUGCACCACCUCAAGCCCCGCCGUCGGCCUCGCCGUCCGCCGCCACAAGUUCUGCACGACGCCGAGCCAGCACCCACGUCCUCCUGUGUAGCGCCUUGAUCACCACCAGAUCGCUCUUAGGCUGCCUGCCUCGCUCCUCCAGCUGAAUGUCUUUCUUAAGCGUGUGCGCGUGCCCGCAAGCUGUUCGACAGCAGCUGCAGUCCAAGUCCACGCGCGCCUGGCCGCCUUGUACCUGUCGCGUUCCAUGCUCAGCAGCAGCAGCUACCAUUGACAUCAGACACGCUCCUAUUCAUCCAUCCACCUGCCUGCUUGCUUGCUUAGCUCCACACGCAUGCAACCAUCCAGCAGCCAUCCUGCUUAGCUUAGCUAGCUAAUACCAUUCUGUCACCAUGUCUGUGUAGUUUUCCGAUCUGUCCGACCGUGUUGCCGCUUAAGAUCUUUUUCCCGGCGUCCACUACUUCGACUAUGGGGACGUCAAGAUGGUGGAGACAUGACUACUUCCGCGACCAGCGCCUCCCUGUGUGUUCACCAUAGCUUCAAGGCUCAAACUUUGUUCAGGUUCGUCAGUUGUGGUACACUGUCCAGAACUGCUUCAUUUUGGCAGCGGGUCUCCUUCUGCUCAACAUCUACGUGGUAGCCAUCUGAUCCCACGCUUGGAGAAGUUCAGUCUACACGUGUGUCGUCAAUCUAAAUCAGCAUCGUCAAAGCAGCCGAGUGGCUUAAGGUCUUGAUCUCUUCCCUGAUAUUAUGGCCAGAGAUGUUUCAGUUUGCGUGGGAGCCUUUCCAAAAUCAGCACCAGCAAGCAGUCUAGUUGUUUUGUUUCCUCUCUCUCCAAACGAUACUAUACUCAAUUCCAGGGAUGCAAUUUAACAGUUGCCGCUUCAGUCAGCGAUUUGCUUCUUCACGGAUAGGCCGUCGAGUUGGUACGAGCUACGACAAGUUCUCCGGAUGUUCCUCGGCAAGCUUUAACAGGCAAGCAUUUCCCUUAUACUCCUGCCCCUGCAGAAGUCGCUCACCUAUUUUAUUUUGCCUUCUCCCUCAUGCUAUCCUUAAGUUGCGUUCUUGUCACGUGUCCCUUCCACUUGUUACCUGAAGCAGCCCAUAUUGCCUCCACCAACCACCUAUGGCUAUUGUUUGGUAUCAGGUCUGCCUUGCGAGUUGUAGUGCAUGCUAGUGCUGUUAUAUCUCGUUACCGUUAUCGCUAUCUUAUCGGUUAUCUGUUGGGAAUCAUGACACAUGCUACGUGGUUAUAUCUGUUGAGGGAAUCAUGGUUACUUGUUAAUAAUUGUUAAGCGGAGGCAUCGGUGGGUCAGCUGAUCGUUUUGUGACGGCUCACUUGUGUUUCCUAAAUAUCUUAGGACCCCGAGUUCUUGUUAUCUGUUCCGAGACUGAGCGCUCUAACCACACGUGGGUAUGCUUCUGGGUCUCCCCUCGACCACUGCCGGAAUCUACAGCUUUGUCCAGUGGCCACAACUAGUUUCGUAAUGUUUUACCAUUUGUUGUUGCGUGCAUGCCAGCCUGUUACUUAUUUACUUUGGGAAGCCCCUGGGUGCCUUGUAUCCCUUGUUUCUGGUAUGCACGCAUAGGUCGCGGAGCCGCUGCGAAGUGGUUUAUCGCCCAGUGUGUGUUUAAACCACCUAGUACGCUGUCGCAAACAGCUAGGUCCGCUUCGGAGAUACGGCCGGACUUCGAUACGGGUUCAACUUAGUUAGGUGGCUUCCUGGACAUUGUUGUCGUGAAGGAGAGUGCGAGUCGUGAUAUCCACCUGUCGCAAGUGGGUUGAUCGUGCGUGUGGGCACAUUUGGGCACCCCUGCAGGGUUACAUCUUAUCGAUAAGUCGUGUCCGCGGUUAUGGACGACUUGGAGCUGUAUGACUCGACCAUAGACAACUUACACCUGUUGUUUCAAUACUAAUAACUUGCGUAGUAAGUUAGCACAACUCUAAUAAUAAAUGGUUAAAACUUGUCAAUCGUGUGAGUGCCUUUGUAAGUACUUCCUUGCGAGGGGGGAACGCAUCGGCUGUGUUAUGUUUGCAGAGUAUAGAACUGUUAGUUUAUGCGCUCUCUCACCCUCUCUGAUAGACGACUGUUGUAGAGUGUCUCUAUAGGUUUUUAGUGCUUGCGCGCUGCCGCUUAACCCCACCAUAUUGCCUAUGACGUUCCUCUUGCGUCCUCUAAGUCCCCUGCGUGCCUCAAGUACAAAGGACGACUGGUUGACGAAUGCUUAUACGUCUUGAAGUCUUGUUAAGUACGAACCCGUACUUAUUGCUGCUUCUACGGGAUAUAACCGGGCAGGUAUGAAGAUAUGCUCGAUGAAGAUGACGUUAGCAAGGUUACCCGUCCGGCUUGGCCUGGGCAGGGUUAUGGACGCCACUGGUUAUCUUCAGGACUCUUAGUCCAAAUUUGUAUUUUGUCCGUACUCGGAUGUAUUCGCUCUUCUGUAUGAUUUGGAUCUUUGUAUGUAUAUUUGUAUCUUGACUCGUUGGAGUCGUUGUUGUAAUAUAUAUGUCUCUUGUGGGCUCUAUUGUAAUCCUGUUGUAAUGUUA